rnacentral:rRNA from 1 species
CGGUCGCAAGGGACAGCUUGCUGGUUCUGGAUGACGUGGCGACAGGGUGGAGUAACACGUGAGUAACCUGCCCCCUUCUUCUGGAUAACCGCAUGAAAGUGUGGCUAAUACGGGAUAUUCUGGGUCUAGUCGCAUGAUGGGCCCGGGAAAGAUGCGCCUUUGGGUGUUUUGGUGGGGGAUGGGCUCGCGGCCUAUCAGCUUGUGGGUGGGGUGAUGGCCUACCAAGGCGGUGACGGGUAGCCGGCCUGAGAGGGUGGACGGUCACACUGGGACUGAGACACGGCCCAGACUCCUACGGGAGGCAGCAGUGGGGAAUAUUGCACAAUGGGCGCAAGCCUGAUGCAGCGACGCCGCGUGAGGGAUGGAGGCCUUCGGGUUGUAAACCUCUUUCGCCAGUGAAGCAGGCCUGCUCCUUGUGGGUGGGUUGACGGUAGCUGGAUAAGAAGCGCCGGCUAACUACGUGCCAGCAGCCGCGGUAAUACGUAGGGCGCAAGCGUUGUCCGGAAUUAUUGGGCGUAAAGAGCUCGUAGGCGGCUGGUCGCGUCUGUCGUGAAAUCCUCUGGCUUAACUGGGGGCUUGCGGUGGGUACGGGCCGGCUUGAGUGCGGUAGGGGAGACUGGAACUCCUGGUGUAGCGGUGGAAUGCGCAGAUAUCAGGAAGAACACCGGUGGCGAAGGCGGGUCUCUGGGCCGUUACUGACGCUGAGGAGCGAAAGCGUGGGGAGCGAACAGGAUUAGAUACCCUGGUAGUCCACGCCGUAAACGUUGGGCACUAGGUGUGGGGGGCCUUUUCCGGGUCUUCCGCGCCGUAGCUAACGCAUUAAGUGCCCCGCCUGGGGAGUACGCCGCAAGGCUA